AGGACGAACGCUGGCGGCGUGCUUAACACAUGCAAGUCGAGCGGAAAGGCCCUUCGGGGUACUCGAGCGGCGAACGGGUGAGUAACACGUGAGCAACCUGCCCUUAGCUUCGGGAUAGCUCCGGGAAACCGGAAUUAAUACCGAAUAUGAUUUUGCUGACAUCAGCAGAAGUGGAAAGUUUUUCGGCUAGGGAUGGACUCGCGGCCUAUCAGCUAGUUGGUGGGAUAACGGCCCACCAAGGCGACGACGGGUA
rnacentral:rRNA from 1 species